UACAGAGGUCCCAAGCGUUGUUCGGAUUCACUGGGCGUAAAGGGUGCGUAGGUGGUGAGGUAAGUCGGAUGUGAAAUCUCCGAGCUCAACUCGGAAACUGCAUUGGAAACUACCUUGCUCGAGGGUUGGAGGGGGGACUGGAAUGCUUGGUGUAGCAGUGAAAUGCGUAGAUAGUCAAGCGGAACACCAGUGGCGAAGGCGAGUCCCUGGACAACUCCUGACACUGAUGACACGAAAGCUAGGGGAGCAAACAGG
rnacentral:rRNA from 1 species